CUCGUCAAACCAGCCAUGGAACAGAUCUGGGCGGUGGCCGCUGCAGCUCCGCUGCCGGCACCAUCCACCCCCAACGCCUCUCCUGCCCCCACUCUGCCACAGCAGCCCCACCUUCCCAGCACCUCUACCUCUUCCUCAGUCCCUCCUCCCCGGUGUCUCCUCGCCCCUACCCCGUCACCUCUGACAAGACCUCCGCAACCGCUACGCCGCCGGCUCCGUCCGUCCCCGACGCCUUCUCCUGCCUCCUCAUCUGCCGCAGCAGCCCAACCUCCCACCGCCCACCACCAAAUCUUCCCCUCCUCGCUAUAUCCUCAGCCCUGUCCCCCGUCUCCUCCGACGCCAACCUCCGCUUGUAAGUCGGCUAUGCGCUGCUGUCCUUUGGCGGCAGCGCUACCAUCUACUUCUUCCCCUUCGCCUUCCCCACCAACGUGCCGUCCUCCCUUUAAGUACGCGUUGCAACCCGAGGACUCCUAGCCGUCUACAACUAGAGCGUCACCAAUGACCUGAUCUGAUGUGAUGGUUGACAUGAAGGUACAGUUCGGCGUUCAUACAUAAUUCAAUCUGUCUAAAAUAGGGUUAGUAUCUAAAAUUGCUUCUUGUCUACAGGAGUAAAGUUGUGCGGGGAACUUUUAAAAAAGAAACUUGGCUAGUUGUUUCAGUGUUCAUGAUAUUUUGCAAGAAAACUCAUAUGUUUGUUCGAAUUUAUUUUUCAAAAUAAUCUCUGACCAUUGGAAGAAAUAAAAUUUACGGUUGCAUUCUACAUUGUUUGUCUCCCCUGAAUCUUCAUGACUUACCCAGUAUUACUAUUUCAUUCGGUAGAUGGGCUGGAAGACAUCUCAUGUGGCCUUGGAAAGUGCUCUUCAGUCACAUCGAAAUAUGGUUGGGGAUCCCUAAUUUUAUGUUGUAUUCGCCUGGUUGAACCAUAAUACAAACUGUAUUUAGUAAUCUGACUUAAUAAUGCUCAGGCUUUGCUAGGCGAGGAGGGUGCUGGCUUGCUGCAUUGAAAACUGACAAUUUAUGAUAUUACAAAGCAGAUAAAUGAUGUUGUCUGGAUAAGGCCUUAAACAGGUCUUCCCUCCGUUUGGAAAUACAUGAGGUGGUUUUAUUUGUAUAUGUUUCUUGUUUUCAUGUUCCAAAAUUCAUAAUUUGGAGAACAUUUUGUUGCUUCAAACUACUGCAUCUAAAGAAUCUGAUGGCUCUGCUCAGCUUUCUCAGAUUGAAAUUGAAAAGCUCCUACCCAGCCAGUUGAGGCUCAAAUCAACAAAUGUCUGAUAAGCUAUGGUGCAACAUUUUUAGAGAAUUUUUUGAAGACCUAACAAUUAUUAGUUCAGUUAAAAAAUAAGCACUACUGUUACAACGAAUGUAUGUAAUUCAUCUAACAUAAAUAAAUCAAUGUGUUGAUUGUAUACA